CCUACGGGAGGCUGCAGUGGGGGAUAUUGCACAAUGGAGGAAACUCUGAUGCAGCGACGCCGCGUGAGUGAAGAAGUAUUUCGGUAUGUAAAGCUCUAUCAGCAGGGAAGAAAGACCUCGCAAGAGGGGAUGACGGUACCUGAAUAAGAAGCCCCGGCUAACUACGUGCCAGCAGCCGCGGUAAUACGUAGGGGGCAAGCGUUAUCCGGAUUUACUGGGUGUAAAGGGAGCGCAGACGGAAUGACAAGUCUGGAGUGAAAGCCCGCGGCUCAACC
rnacentral:rRNA from 1 species